rnacentral:rRNA from 1 species
AAAUCAAGCGUUUAAGAGCAUAUAGUGGAUGCCUUGGCACUGAAAGUCGAUGAAGGACGUGAUAAACUGCGAUAAGUUUCGGGGAGCUGUUUGUAGGCUUUGAUCCGGAAAUUUCCGAAUGGGAAAACCCAACUCUUUAAGAGUUACCUUGCACUGAAUACAUAGGUGUAAGGAGAUAACCUAGGGAACUGAAACAUCUAAGUACCUAGAGGAAAAGAAAUCAAUUGAGAUUCCGUUAGUAGUGGCGAGCGAACGCGGAACAGGCCAGUAACUUUUUUUGUAUAACUAGAAUAACCUGGAAAGGUUAACCAUAGAGGGUGAUAGUCCCGUAUAGGUAAAAGCAAUUAAAGUUCUCGAGUAAGGCGGGACACGUGAAAUCCUGUUUGAAGAUAGGGGGACCACCCUCUAAGCCUAAAUACUCUUCAGUGACCGAUAGUGAACUAGUACCGUGAGGGAAAGGUGAAAAGAACCCCUAUUAGGGGAGUGAAAUAGAUCCUGAAACUGUAUGCUUACAAACUGUCGAAGCCCCAUGUGGGUGACGACGUACCUUUUGUAUAAUGGGUCAGUGACUUAAUUUAUGUAGCAAGCUUAAGCCGUUUAGGUGUAGGCGUAGCGAAAGCGAGUCUUAAUAGGGCGAUUAGUUGCAUGGAUUAGAACCCGAAACCGAGUGAUCUAGCUAUGAGCAGGUUGAAGGCAAGGUAAUACUUGCUGGAGGACCGAACCAGUUGACGUUGAAAAGUCUUUGGAUGACUUGUUGCUAGGGGUGAAAGGCCAAUCAAACUCGGAGAUAGCUGGUUUUCCGCGAAAACUAUUUAGGUAGUGCGUUGAGAUAUAGAUUUUGAGGGGUAGAGCACUAAAUAGGCUAGGGGGAAGAAAUUCUUACUAAACCUAAUAAAACUCCGAAUACUCAAAAUUGUUCCUCAGCAGACAGACGGUGAAUGCUAACGUCCAUCGUCGAGAGGGAAACAACCCAGACCACCAAUUAAGGUCCCCAAGUUAUGGUUAAGUGUGAAAGGAUGUGAAGACUCCAAAACAGCCGGGAGGUUGGCUUAGAAGCAGCCAUCCUUUAAAGAUAGCGUAACAGCUCACCGGUCUAAUUAAGAGACUUUGCGCCUAAGAUGUAACGGGGCUCAAACCAUACACCGAAAUUGUGGAUUGAUAGAAGUCUUCGGACUUUUAUUUCUGGUAGCGGAACGUUCUGUAAGCCUGUGAAGAGAGACCCGUGAGGGCUCUUGGAGGUAUCAGAAGUGCGAAUGCUGACAUAAGUAACGACAAACAGAGUGAAAGACUCUGUCGCCGAGAGUACAAGGGUUCCUGCGUAAAGUUAAUCUUCGCAGGGUUAGCCGGCCCCUAAGACGAGGACGAAAGUCGUAGUCGAUGGGAAUCAGGUAAAUAUUCCUGAGCCAGGUGGUAGUGACGGAUCAUGUAAAUUGUUAACUCUUAUUGGAUUGAGUUGGCUGUGAAGUGGUCCCAGGAAAUAGCUCCAUCAUAAGACCGUACCCCAAACGGACACACGUGUACCGGUAGAGUAUACCUAGGCGCUUGAGAGAAUGAUGUUGAAGGAACUCGGCAAAAUGCUUCCGUAACUUCGGGAUAAGGAAGACCCAAUAAUGGGCAACCAUAUUUGGGUGGCACAAGCCAGGGAGAAGCGACUGUUUAUCAAAAACACAGCACUCUGCUAACACGUAAGUGGAUGUAUAGGGUGUGACGCCUGCCCGGUGCUGGAAGGUUAAAGGGAGAUGUGCAAGCAUCAAACUGAAGCCCCAGUGAACGGCGGCCGUAACUAUAACGGUCCUAAGGUAGCGAAAUUCCUUGACGGGUAAGUUCCGUCCUGCAUGAAUGGCGUAACGAUUUCUCCGCUGUCUCCAACAUCAACUCAGUGAAAUUGAAUUCUCCGUGAAGAUGCGGAGUUCCCGUGGUUAGACGGAAAGACCCCGUGCACCUUUACUAUAACUUUACAUUGGUAUUAGAAAUGACAUGUGUAGCAUAGGAGGGAGACUUUGAAGUGAUGGCGCCAGCCGUCAUGGAGUCUUUAGUGAAAUACCUCUCUUGUUAUUUUUGAUAUCUAACUGCAUGCCAUUAUCUGGCUGCAAGACACUGUAUGGUGGGUAGUUUGACUGGGGCGGUCGCCUCCUAAAGAGUAACGGAGGCGUGCGAAGGUUGGCUCAGACCGGUCAGAAAUCGGUCGUUGAGUGCAAUGGCAUAAGCCAGCCUGACUGCAAGACUGACAAGUCGAGCAGAGACGAAAGUCGGUCAUAGUGAUCCGGUGGUUCUGAGUGGAAGGGCCAUCGCUCAACGAAUAAAAGGUACGCCGGGGAUAACAGGCUGAUACCAUCCAAGAGUUCAUAUCGACGAUGGUGUUUGGCACCUCGAUGUCGGCUCAUCACAUCCUGGGGCUGGAGCAGGUCCCAAGGGUUUGGCUGUUCGCCAAUUAAAGUGGUACGUGAGCUGGGUUCAGAACGUCGUGAGACAGUUCGGUCCCUAUCUGCCAUGGGUGUAGAAAAAUUGAGAGGAGUUGCCCCUAGUACGAGAGGACCGGGGUGAACGUACCACUGGUGGACCGAUUGUAGCGCCAGCUGCAGUGUCGGGUAGCUAAGUACGGAAGGGAUAACCGCUGAAAGCAUCUAAGCGGGAAACCCGCCUCAAAACUAGUUUUUCCUAUAGAGCCGUCGUAGACUACGACGUUGAUAGGCUGGGUGUGGAAGUGCGGUAACGCAUGAAGCUAACCAGUACUAAUAGCUCAAUUGGCUUGAUUUA